rnacentral:rRNA from 1 species
UACAGAGGUCUCAAGCGUUGUUCGGAUUCAUUGGGCGUAAAGGGUGCGUAGGUGGCGCGCUAAGUCAGGUGUGAAAUUUCGGAGCUUAACUCCGAAACUGCAUUUGAUACUGGCGUGCUUGAGGACUGGAGAGGAGACUGGAAUUCAUGGUGUAGCAGUGAAAUGCGUAGAGAUCAUGAGGAACACCGGUGGCGAAGGCGGCAUCCUGGACCAACACUGACACUGAGGAGCGAAAGCCAGGGGAGCAAACGGG